UCACGCCGCGUGAGGGAUGAAGGCCUUCGGGUUGUAAACCUCUUUUAGUAGGGAAGAAGCGAAAGUGACGGUACCUACAGAAAAAGCACCGGCUAACUACGUGCCAGCAGCCGCGGUAAUACGUAGGGUGCAAGCGUUGUCCGGAAUUAUUGGGCGUAAAGAGCUCGUAGGCGGUUUGUCGCGUCUGCUGUGAAAACCUGAGGCUCAACCUCAGACCUGCAGUGGGUACGGGCAAGCUAGAGUGCGGUAGGGGAGAUGGGAAUUCCUGGUGUAGCGGUGGAAUGCGCAGAUAUCAGGAGGAACACCGAUGGCGAAGGCACAUCUCUGGGCCGUAACUGACGCUGAGGAGCGAAAGCGUGGGGAGCGAACAGGAUUAGAUACCCUGGUAGUCCACGCCGUAAACGGUGGGUGCUAGUUGUGGGUCACAUUCCACGUGAUCCGUGACGAAGUUAACACAUUAAGCACCCCGCCUGGGGAGUACGGUCGCAAGACUAAAACUCAAAGAAAUUGACGGGGGCCCGCACAAGCGG
rnacentral:rRNA from 1 species